rnacentral:rRNA from 1 species
UACGUAGGGAGCAAGCGUUGUCCGGAAUCAUUGGGCGUAAAGCGCGCGUAGGUGGCCUCAUAAGUCCGCUGUGAAAGUCAAAGGCUCAACCUUUGAAAGCCGGUGGAUACUGUGAGGCUAGAGUACGGAAGAGGCGAGUGGAAUUCCUGGUGUAGCGGUGGAAUGCGCAGAUAUCAGGAGGAACACCGAUGGCGAAGGCAGCUCGCUGGGACGGUACUGACGCUGAGGCGCGAAAGCGUGGGGAGCGAACAGG